AUUGAACGCUGGCGGCAUGCCUUACACAUGCAAGUCGAACGGCAGCACGGGUGCUUGCACCUGGUGGCGAGUGGCGAACGGGUGAGUAAUACAUCGGAACAUGUCCUGUAGUGGGGGAUAGCCCGGCGAAAGCCGGAUUAAUACCGCAUACGAUCUACGGAUGAAAGCGGGGGACCUUCGGGCCUCGCGCUAUAGGGUUGGCCGAUAGCUGAUUAGCUAGUUGGUGGGGUAAAGGCCUACCAAGGCGACGAUCAGUAGCUGGUCUGAGAGGACGACCAGCCACACUGGGACUGAGACACGGCCCAGACUCCUACGGGAGGCAGCAGUGGGGAAUUUUGGGCAAUGGGCGAAAGCCUGAUCCAGCAAUGCCGCGUGUGUGACGGAGGCCUUCGGGUUGUAAAGCACUUUUGUCCGGAAAGAAAUCCUUGGCUCUAAUACAGUCGGGGGAUGACGGUACCGGAAGAAUAAGCACCGGCUAACUACGUG
rnacentral:rRNA from 1 species